GUAGGGUGCGAGCGUUAAUCGGAACUACUGGGCGUAAAGCGUGCGCAGGCGGCUUCGCAAGUCAGGCGUGAAAUCCCCGGGCUUAACCUGGGAAUGGCGUCUGAAACUACGGAGCUGGAGUGUGGCAGGGGGAGGUAGAAUUCCACGUGUAGCGGUGAAAUGCGUAGAUAUGUGGAGGAAUACCGAUGGCGAAGGCAGCCUCCUGGGCCAACACUGACGCUCAUGCACGAAAGCGUGGGGAGCAAACAGG
rnacentral:rRNA from 1 species